rnacentral:rRNA from 1 species
GGGGGAAUAUUGGGCAAUGGGCGCAAGCCUGACCCAGCCACGCCGCGUGAGUGAUGAAGGCCUUCGGGUCGUAAAGCUCUGUGGGGAGGGACGAAAAAACACUGGCCAAUAUCCAGUGGACUGACGGUACCUCCUUAGCAAGCACCGGCUAACUCUGUGCCAGCAGCCGCGGUAAUACAGAGGGUGCAAACGUUGCUCGGAAUCAUUGGGCGUAAAGCGUGCGUAGGCGGUUGGUUAAGUCUGUCGUGAAAGCCCUGGGCUCAACCUGGGAAUGGCGAUGGAUACUGGCUAGCUAGAGUGUGAUAGAGGAUGGCGGAAUUCCCGGUGUAGCGGUGAAAUGCGUAGAGAUCGGGAGGAACAUCCGUGGCGAAGGCGGCCAUCUGGAUCAACACUGACGCUGAGGCACGAAAGCGUGGGGAGCAAACA